AGCAGCCGCGGUAAUUCCAGCUCCAAUAGCGUAUAUUAAAGUUGUUGCAGUUAAAAAGCUCGUAGUUGAAUUUCGGGAUUGGCGCAUCGGUCGUGCCUCACGGGGUAUGAACUGGUGCAGUCAAUUUCUCACCUUCUGGAGAACCGCGAUGUCCUUAAUUGGAUGCCGCGGGGAACCAGGACCUUUACUUUGAAAAAAUUGAGUGUUUAAAGCAGGCAUUUUUGCUUGAAUACAUUAGCAUGGAAUAAUAAAAUAGGACGGCAUGGUUCUAUUUUGUGGUUUCUAGGACCACCGUAAUGAUUAAUAGGGAUAGUUGGGGGCAUUAGUAUUCAAUUGUCAGAGGCGAAAUUUCUUGGAUUUUAUUGAAGACUAACUACUGACGAAAGCAUUUGCCAAGGAUGUUUUCAUUAAUCAAGAACGAAAGUUAGGGAUCGAAGACGAUCAGAUACCGUCGUAGUCUUAACCAUAAACUAUCGCCGACUAGGAAUCAGACGAUUAGUUAAAUUUUUUAAUGUACUUCGUUUGGCACCUUAAACC
rnacentral:rRNA from 1 species